UUAAUCACGGAGUUUCUCUCGGUUUGUGGGCUCAUCUAAAGGAGCAGAAAAGUGUUGGAGCAGCAGAAUCACAAUUUCAGCCAUUUGGACUCAGCUCAGCCACUACAGAGGAAACAAUGACUUCAACACAAAAGGACCAACAUGGAGCAAGAAGUCAGCGCUCUCAGGAGGCCGACAAACCUC